AAAACUAUUAAAAUACGCCGUUUUUCGUUUUCUAAACAUUUUCAGUGAUGAUUUAAAAGUCAAAAACUCAAGUGAAGAAAAAAAGAUGUAGUGUCAAUAAGACAUUUUGACAUAAAAUAAGAUAUAAUCAUUUGAGAUUCAGUGUGCCUCUUUGAAACAAAUAAAUUUGUUGUUCUAAAGAAGCUAUAAUCAAAUAAUAAUCUGCGAUUUUCCGAGUCCUACUUGAUGUUGGUACCUACAAUUCGUUGUAGCAUAUGGUUCCAAAUAGCGCUUUUUGUCUUCUUACCGGGCGCGUGCGAUUAAUCUCUUGCAGACUAUAAAGUAUGAAAAUCUUCCAUCAAGUGGUAUGCAGGCGAAUGUGUAAAAAUAUAAUAAUUAUAAAUAUGUUUUUGUUACAAA